GACUGAGACACGGCCCAGACUCCUACGAGAGGCAGCAGUAGAGAAUCUUCCGCAAUGGACGCAAGUCUGACGGAGCAACGCCGCGUGAGUGAUGAAGGUCUUCGGAUCGUAAAACUCUGUUAUCAGGGAAGAACCCGUAUCGGAGUAACUGCCGGUGCGUUGACGGUACCUGACCAGAAAGCCACGGCUAACUACGUGCCAGCAGCCGCGGUAAUACGUAGGUGGCAAGCGUUGUCCGGAAUUAUUGGGCGUAAAGCGCGCGCAGGCGGCUUCUUAAGUCUGAUGUGAAAGCCCACGGCUCAACCGUGGAGGGUCAUUGGAAACUGGGAGGCUUGAGUGCAGAAGAGGAGAGCGGAAUUCCACGUGUAGCGGUGAAAUGCGUAGAGAUGUGGAGGAACACCAGUGGCGAAGGCGGCUCUCUGGUCUGUAACUGACGCUGAGGCGCGAAAGCGUGGGUAGCGAACAGGAUUAGAUACCCUGGUAGUCCACGCCGUAAACGAUGAGUGCUAAGUGUUAGGGGGUUCCGCCCCUUAGUGCUGCAGCAAA
rnacentral:rRNA from 2 species